CAAACCCUAAAUAUUCAUCCGCUGUUUCUUUUUCUCCCAACCAGAAAAUCUUGCUUCUCAUAAUCUUCCUGUUACGGCCACACGAAAUCGAAAUCUGAGCCCUAAAAGUAAAGGUAUAUUAUAGAUUCGAUUUGUCUUCCUCUUCUUUAUCAAUCAUUCCGUUUUAUAGAAUGAUGAAGAUUGGUGAAUCAUUGGUUAUGUCAAUUAGUGCCAUUUGAAAACCCUCAUCUCAGAUUCAAUAAUUACGGCCAUUUGUUUGAGAGUUAAUUUGCAGAUACAUGUAAUCUGGAUUGGAUUGAUGAAGAGCCAUUGAUGUCAUAAUAGUAACUUUGACUCGCAGCUGAUACGUUUUGGGAUGCAGGUCAAACAGGAGGCGCAACAGGUGCUCCGGAUAACUUAAACUUGGAUAUGCUUAUGGAGACCUCGAUUUCUUGAAGAUCCAACAGUUGUUGAACGCUGCAGUUACCGGAGACCUCGAUUUCUUGAAGAAGAAAGAGAGAGAUGGCGGAAAAGGUGGUGGCAUUGAAGGAGAUGUAUAGCGAGGAAGAAGUGAGGAUGAUGUAUGGGUUUAAGAUUAGCGGUGAUGGGUAUGCGAAGGUCACAUGUGGAUGCCCUAGCUACUGUUAUGAUGAUGUCGUUGAUGCGCUUAGGGUGUUUGCUAAUGCUGAUCUUGAAAUCAGCUCCGAUUGUACCCCCGGUUGUCAAGGGUUUAAGGUUGUUGGCUAAUUAAGAAGCAAGUAGCUGCUAAGGUUUGCGUGUUUAGUAUUUCGCUACCCGUCGCUCGGGCUCAAAAUCCACGAGUAAGGUACUACCGUUAUUCGAUCCAUGCCCUCUUUUAGUGACCCGUUUAGUUCACCCUUAGGGACUACAUCAUUCUAACGAACCAACACGCUAAAUUCUCGUAUUCUAAUAUGUCAUUUAGCAACAAUCUCAAAAGACCAAUUAACCAUAUUACGAAGUAUUAGCCAUGCAUUAUUUGAUUAUUCGACCCGUUUGGCUCAUCUACGGAAUCCUUCUUUAUGAUGACUACCAACGAGACCUAACCAAUUCUUGACCUAUUAUUCAAUAUAGCGAACAUCAUCGCUUUAAAUCGACACAACUUUUGUUCUACAAUUCUACUAUACAUAUGCUAAUUAUCAAAAUUCACCCAAUGUAACGAAUCAAGUUACAUACCUUUAGAGCACACCCUUCAAGCGCGUAUCUCCCCCGGCGUGUCCGCUUGACGUUCCGGAUUCUUUGCCUAAAGAGUUCAACUCACAACAAGUUUAGAACUCUUUCAUAAACUUUAACGCAUAUUUCUCUAAAAUGAUCAAAUCUGCGUUUUUACUCAACUUUUAACAUUUUAAUCCUCACUUAGGCGUUCCAUCGAACACCUAGUGGGUCAGAUUUUUAUAUAAACAAAACCAAGUUCAUGACUUGUAAUUAUCAUCUAAACUAACUUCAAUUAGUCAAUUCCAUACAUGUCUUAACAUCAAUAUUUCCAAAAUUACUCCUAAAUUCAGGUUGUGCUAUAACAAGAUCAUAAAUUCUAGAGUUUAUCAAGUUUUCUUCAAACUUCUUAAUCACCUACAAUGGUGAUUUGAACUCUAUAAUUAUCAUGCAAUCCUUUAAUAAGUUUUCACCUAGGGUUUCUCCCUAGACACCAUAUCUCUUCUAAUUACAUUCAUGCAAGAUACAAUCAAGCUAAAUUUCAAUUUUUCAUCAUUAACCUAGAAUUUGAGAUGAAUCGAAAUACUAGAAUUUCACAUACCUUGUGAUCCUUUCAGUGAGGUGAUCACUAAUUCGUGUUUAGAAUUAGAUUUGGGGCUGAAUUAAACCUUCAAUUGAUCAAUUUUAGUGAGAGUUAGGGUUUGGUGGAGAACCCUUGUCGCCCCCUGCUUCUUGAUCGAACAGACACACCCAAAGUGUGUGUUUGGUGUGUUUUAAUUUUGUUUUAUGAAAUAAAGUUUCAAAUUUAGCAACAUAGGCCCCUCAACUUUCGUUUCUAUUUUGUUCUAGCUCCUUAACUACUAACAAGUCAUCAUCUAACUAGGUUAAUGUUAUUCCUAGUUAGUUUAUGUUACUAAUUUAUUUGCAACUUAAUUGAAAUUUAAGAGUUUAUAUUUUCGGGAUGUUACAACAGUUUGCUUAAGGUACUACACCAGGUUUGGAUGGAUUGCGAAUUUAAUCUUAUAACAACUUUUUCAGACUGAUGCGAUAAAUAUGAAAGUAGGCUAUGACUUGUCAUGGUAUAUAUUAUUGAAUUAUAUGCUUUUUAAGUAGAUUUGUAGUUUUGACAGUGCAGCGCGGUUGCUGUGUUUGAGUUGUUUUUGAAAUUGAAGAAUGACAUCACGAGACGGUACUGGUGGACUGUCAGAUCAGCCAUCGUCGUCGCCACUACAGUGGCGGAUCAUGUAGACGCAGGCGGCGGGGAAUCUUUGAGAGACGAUAUUUGAUAGUGAUGCGAUUCCAUCGUCGUUGGUGGAGAUUGUAACUUUUUGCUAGCUUUGAAACAUGGGCCGAAGGAAAGAGGAAGACCAAACAAAGUCGCGGUCAAAGCAAAGAAAAAGAUGCCAAAAAAGACCGAUUCUUUACAUGGCAAAGUUGAGCAGAGUAACUCCUAGGAUUGCUUAUGGCUGUUUAAGGAUAUUCAAGAUAGUUAUUGAUUGGCACUGCUCUCAGUUUCCCUGUAGUGAUUAUUGUGUUUCCUCCGACUAUUCAAUCAAGAGAUUUGUGUUUCAGCCAUCUCGCAUAUUUCUUAUAGAUAUUUUACACGUCUCAUUCGAUCUCCACGCUGCUUCGUUUCUGACGGAAUCUGCUAUGUUUUGCCCAUAACUUAGAAGAACAAUUCGAAAAUGAAGUCCUCAAAAUUUAUGGUACUUGAUCUUAGUAGCCCCGAUCUCCACGAAAACGCGCUUCUUGAAAUCUCCAAGGUCUGCAAGGUGGCUCCAAUUUCCAGAAAGACUAAAGUUUGGUAAUACAUUAACCUUACAAAGAAGAUAUUCUUUAUUACUUUCUCUGGUGUUGUUUGUGGCAGCAGUGAUACUGAAACUGAUAUUCUUUUAAAGGGUGUGGUGUGAGUCACCAAUUUGCAUGAUGCCACAUAGCAUAGUGGUGAAGUCUUAAUACGUGUCAAUAAAAAGCACGUGAAGGUGCGGCGUUAUGAGUGCUUUGGUAAUCGAAAAAUGGCGUUAGGGUGCGGGAUAUUUCUUAUGAUUGCGGCUUUCAAAAUGGGAAAAGGGAGUAGGGGGAGCAGGGUAUUAUGUUGCUUGCAUAACUGAUGAAAACCCCUCAAAAGGGUUCAAGCAGCCUAUACGGGUCAACAUUGGCGGCGUGCAAUGCUUGGUUGAAUGCCGAUACAUCUCUAACUGUGAUUUUCUUGAGGUCUUCAAGUCAUUAUCAAAGGGCUCUUUCAUCAAAUAAGGAGAAUCUGAAGUCAAUGUAUGCUGAUGGUAAAUUGAAACAGUGGUUUCGGGAAUUUUUUGCUGUCUACCAGUAAUCCUAAUGAAGAAUUUUCAGCAAUCUGGACUUCACCACUAUUUGGUUAUCUGAGAAGAUGAACCAUUUGGGAAUUUUUCUGUCCUAACAGUUGCAUCAGAAAAAGUUUCGGUGCCAACUGGGUCUGCGUCAGGUGCAAACCUGGCCAUUGACUUCUUUAAUUAUUUAUAGGCGUUGAGAAACUUGGAGUGGUUUCAUGGUUUGUAAUGCUUUAAUUAUUUAUAGGCGUUGAGAAACUUGGAGUGGUUUCAUGGUUUGUAAUGAGUUCUUUUCAAAUAGAUCAGUAUUAGCACUUCAUAUUUUUAUACCAAUGAACUUGCAUUGGUUUCUGUAACUUCGCUUGCUGGGAUAAUGAUACUAUCAAGGAGUACCACUAGGAUCAACAUUUUCUCUCUGCCGACUCUAUACAACCAAAACACUAUCCCUAAUCAUCUUCUCUGUGCUGACUCCAUACUACUCUGAGUUUUGUUUAUAAUCACGAUGUAUUCUUUGUUAUUUAGUUUUUGUUUUUGCUAAUUAUUAUUUUUUUCGAGUUUGUACUCAUUUGCAGUAUGUAUUUAGUCAUCCUGAAUUCAUCUGAAACUUAUACAGGGUAGUGAUUUGGAGAAAGCGUAACUCAGUUUGGGGCAUAGUUAAAGCAAAGCAAAUGUAAAAUGCAAUUCGUGCACACGAGGUGCACUUUUUUAAAAGAAAAGUUAGUGUGAUUGUAGAUCCGAACACUAAAUUGUUUCAUUUUGUAUUUUAAAGUUAAACAUAUUUACAGUUCUUGAACAAAUUUAAGGAGGUUAUUUUAUCUUGA